GUGCUCGCUGCAGCAGCACAAGUACUAAGUACAGAGAUUAGCAUGGCCCCUGUGCAAGGAUGACACAAAUUCAUGAAGUGUUCCAUAUUUUU
ensembl:snRNA U6 U6 spliceosomal RNA